rnacentral:rRNA from 1 species
GAUGAACGCUGGCGGCAUGCUUAACACAUGCAAGUCUAGCUGAACGACGAUGUGCUUGGCGGUCGGGUGAGUGACGCGUACAGAACUUGCAUCACAGUUAGGGCCACCAUUUAGACACGAAUGCUAAUACCAGAUCGUAUGUUUUAAGGGCAUAUUAAGUUUAUGACAGCUAUCUGUACUGUAAGAGAGCUUUGCGUCCCAUUAGCUAGUUGGUGGGGUAACGGUUUACAAAGGCAACGAUGCGUGGCCGACCUGAGAGGGUGGUCGGCCACACUGGAACGGGGACACGGUCCAGACUCCUACGGGAGGCAGCAGUAGCGAAUCUGCCGCAAUGGGCGAGAGCCUGGCGGAGCAACGCCGAGUGAGUGAUGAAGGUCUUCGGAUCGUAAAACUCUGUUUUUAGGGAAGAAAAAAUGUUUAAGUAACUAAGCAAAUAUUGACGGUACCUAAUAAGAAAGCCACGGCUAACUACGUG